GAUGAACGCUGGCGGCGUGCCUAAUACAUGCAAGUCGAGCGAACGGACGAGAAGCUUGCUUUUCUGAUGUUAGCGGCGGACGGGUGAGUAACACGUGGAUAACCUACCUAUAAGACUGGGAUAACUUCGGGAAACCGGAGCUAAUACCGGAUAAUAUUUUGAACCGCAUGGUUCAAAAGUGAAAGACGGUCUUGCUGUCACUUAUAGAUGGAUCCGCGCUGCAUUAGCUAGUUGGUAAGGUAACGGCUUACCAAGGCAACGAUGCAUAGCCGACCUGAGAGGGUGAUAGGCCACACUGGAGCUGAGACACGGUCCAGACGCCUACGGGAGGCAGCAGUAGGGAAUCUUACGCAAUGGGCGAAAGCCUGACGGAGCAACGCCGCGUGAGUGAUGACGGUCUUCGGAUCGUAAAACUCUGUUAUUAGGGAAGAACAUAUGUGUAAGUAACUGUGCACAUCUUGACGGUACCUAAUCAGAAAGCCACGGCUAACUACGUG
rnacentral:rRNA from 1 species